GUUGGGAGAAAAAAAGAAAAGGGCGCUCGUUACCUGGACACGUUCUACUCGUCUCCCUUCCUCACGAAGCAAACCCCACCGCGUCCGCCGCCGCCCAUCCCUGCUCCUCCGGCGUCGGCCACCGAACAAGGUGUCCUCCUCAGAUCCGCUUCUCCCCCAAACCUUCUCGUCUUCACGUUCCACCAGCCCGCCAUGAUUGUUUCUGAGGAGGGGAAGAAGGGGAUGACAUCGAGGUUCUGACGGAGGCCCUAGCUCAAGGCGGCGAGUUGCAGAGGGUUCUUGCCGGCUCAUUCAGCGCGUCUGAGGCGUUGGAGGGAGCCAACUACCAACUGACUAGAAAGAUGGAGGUGUUGCAGUUGGUCGAUUGCGACUAUGAGGUGAGGAUCCUUUUCUUUCUUUUGUCUUCUUCUUUUUUGUGAUUGGUUGAUUGGUUGCAGGGUAAGUUGGAAUUUUGUCCCAUAUCACAAUGUUUUGUCUGUUGGUGUAGAGCUUUUCCUAUUUUAUUAUGGGUUUCUUAUUGGGAAACACACCAAAUUAAGGGUAAUUUGAUUUGUGAGUUAUGAGUAUCAAGGUCCUGUGAGAUAUCCGUACUUAACAGGCAACACCUUCUUAUGUGAAGAACCACCUAAUUAAUCAGCCUACUAAUCCUUCUUUGACAUUGAGAGGCAAGAGAUUGCUAUCUCCAGCGAUUGAUGUGGGAGGUGGUAGUGCAGACAGCGGCUUCAGGCAGGGAGAUACUGGAGGUGGCUCGAUCGUCGCCUGACAGGCUGGACAGGUGGCAGAGGUGGAGGUCGUGCGAGGCGGCUCUUCGGCCGAUCUGUUCAUUCAAGCCCUUGCCCCUUGGUUGCCUGCCUUGCUAGCAAGCACGACCACUGCCAUGUCUUCUCCGGUGCUACCAGCAAGCGGCCGACCAUGCCGCUGCCAUGCCUCCGGCGCUCCCUGGCAGCCAGCCCUACAUGUCCAAAUUUGAAAAGGAAGAGUAAGAAGAAAUCCAUGAAAGAAAGAUGGUUGAUCGGCUGACGACGACGCGGCUGUUCCCUCCAACGUUAAUACCGCGACUGUCAACAAGGUCGUCGUCUUCAAGGCCUCGAGCUGGCUGCAACCAAGCACGACCUCUUGCUCGUCCUACACCGUGCUUGCAAUCGCACGUGAUAGCCACGGGCUGCUCCAUGCACGGACGACAAGCACGACGGCCCCGACCAAGGUGCUCUCGCCCCUCUAAUCUUCCCUGUGCCUCUAUCCAUCUCCCCCUGGUAGUUGCUGUUUGGAGUAGCUCUAUUGGUUAGACUUAUUUAGAUGUAGCAUUCCGGAUUUGCAGUAGUGCGCAGUAAUCCUAUCAAAGGCAUGCUAUUGUGUUUCUUCAAGUUCCAACUGUGGUUUUAAGUUGGGGCUAAGCGAGUGAAGAGAUUUAUGUUCAUUAUGUUUUCACAAUUGCUAGGGCUUUUAGGUUAGAAGGACAUUUCUUUGCGACACUGCAAUGUGACAGUUUACCUACUUCUUAUGUUUAGUUCCUGAAUCCCAAUAAAACUAUAAAAAUUCUAAGCUACCUCUACACUGACAGAGCUUACAAGUUGGCGUAAUUAGUAUGAACACACAUGUUUACCUUAUCAGUGUGACCCCCAACAGGAAGUAGCUUCACAUCUAAUAAGAAGUGAUACACACAACCUUGUUUAUGCUUGCUCGAGCUGAAGAGAUCUCUCGGAAGAUAAAUGCUGUGUAAAAUGCACAUGGAACUUAAUAUAGAAGAAAGUAAUGAUAGUUAAACACUUAAUUAGCAGUAAAAAGAGCUGACACUAUACUGAAAUAUAAAGCUGGGAACCUGGACGACUCUACCUUUUUCAUGAUAAUCAUCCGGCAUACUUAUCUGAACUGAACAAAUCAAGGAACCGAUUGAACUACCACAUAAAACAGUGGAAAAAAAAUAGGAAGAAAAUAGUCUAGGAUGUGAUCGACAUGGCCAUCGGACAUUGUGGCGAUAUUGGCAGUUUAUUUGACAACAUAUGUUUGGUUUAUUUCCACUACAAGGCAAAGCAAGUGAAAAGAACAAAUAAAUCUUGUGUGGCUGUGUGAUGCGACUCUUGUUGGUAUACGACUGUGACGAUAUACUGAAUAUUAUUUAUCUUUUUCCUUUCUGAAUUUUGUAGUAGAGGAGGAACAGUGUUUUUUUGUUAUCCAUCAGGAACUACGCUUUUGUGCUAUUGAAUAAUGGCCUCAAUUUUUUUCUGAUGGAAUUAGUGAUGAAAAUGACUUCUCGUUGAUCACAGUAGUGGUGGAGGGAAUCAAGAAGUUGCCUCAUGAACUGUCAUUUAUCUCUCUAAUUUCCAUUUACUCAAAGUGGUACAUCAUCAUUUCUUAUGUGUAUUUUUAAUAAUUAUGAUGCUAUCUUCAUAAUUAUUCACAAACUGAGCAUCUAGCUUCGUUUUGUUGACAUGGUAAUAUUUACAUUCUCCUGGACAAUGAUAUGUUUCGUUGGUUUGACAUUGAAAUUUAGCGGACUGUUUCAAUAUCCAUGCCUUUUGUUGUAGUGUCAGUAGAUCUUCUCUUUUCUCCUUGUUUACUGUGAGAUGAUAUAUCUAUUUCUAUAAUAUAGGUUAACCAAAGGAUAGCUGUGUUUGCUCAAACAAAGUUCCAAAGAGAUGGCAUCGAGUUGAGUACAGGAUUAAGAGAUAAAGGUCUCUGUUGAUUCGAUUGCAGUGAAGUGCAAACCAUCUGGUGGACUGCCGCGUAUAUUUAUUAUGUGGACUGCCGUGUGAUACUCAAGCUGUCAAUCCAUAUUCUAGAUGCAUUUUAUCUAACCAUAAUGAUGUUGGUUUCAGAUAAUUUCAAGUCGCAAGGUAUUGGCAUAGACCCAAGCAUGUUUGUGUUUCAAGACGAGGAGCUAGGCCUGACGGCAACUACGAGGAAGAGGUGGUGCAGUGGAAGAAUACGGCGUGGACGAUUCCAGCGAGAUGUGGUUCGAGUGGAUGUCAGUGAUGCAACAAUGAGAAGAUCCUCUGCUUUGGCUGCUCUCCAGUCCUCCCAAUCCCUCUGUUUUCUUAGAAUAUAUUUCUCUUUAUUUCAUGAGUAGGGACAUAAUCUUUCAAAGUUUCUACAAAGGGUUUGCUGACCACCUGAUUGAUAUUCCUCUUCUGUUUGCCUGUCUUUUGGAGCAUGUUAGGCUUUAAUUUCAAUUUAAUGAUUUACUCUAUCAUCCACCUUGUAAGACUGUCACCUAUAUAAUAAUAUGGACCUAUUACCUUGCUA